UUCCAGACUCCUACGGGAGGCAGCAGUGGGGAAUAUUGCACAAUGGGGGAAACCCUGAUGCAGCGACGCCGCGUGAGUGAAGAAGUAUUUCGGUAUGUAAAGCUCUAUCAGCAGGAAAGAAAAUGACGGUACCUGACUAAGAAGCCCCGGCUAACUACGUGCCAGCAGCCGCGGUAAUACGUAGGGGGCAAGCGUUAUCCGGAUUUACUGGGUGUAAAGGGAGCGUAGACGGUGAAGCAAGUCUGAAGUGAAAGGCGGGGGCUCAACCCCCGGACUGCUUUGGAAACUGUUUGACUGGAGUGCAGGAGAGGUAAGUGGAAUUCCUAGUGUAGCGGUGAAAUGCGUAGAUAUUAGGAGGAACACCAGUGGCGAAGGCGGCCUACUGGACUGUAACUGACGUUGAGGCUCGAAAGCGUGGGGAGCAAACAGGAUUAGAUACCCCCGUAC
rnacentral:rRNA from 1 species